rnacentral:rRNA from 1 species
AACUUUUAGCAAGGGAUUACUCGGCUCUUGAAUCGAUGAAAAACACAGCUAACUGCGAUAAAUUGUAGGAAUUGCAGACACACUGAGCACAAAAAUUUCGAAUGCACCUUGCACAUCGUCUCUCACAACAACCUAAUUUAUUCUUGCGUGUAU